rnacentral:rRNA from 1 species
UGGUGGAGUGAUUUGUCUGGUUAAUUCCGUUAACGAACGAGACCUCGACCUGCUAAAUAGUCACAGGGUAUUCAUGCGAUACAAACUGUACUUCUUAGAGGGACUAUCAGUUGGUGUACCUGAUGGAAGUUCGAGGCAAUAACA